rnacentral:tRNA from 1 species
UCGCACUGUUUUUUUGCAGCGAAUGCUGGCGGAACUACAGACUCUUAAUCUCGUGGUCGCGGGUUCGACUCCCGUCGGUCGGA